UACGAGGGGGGCAAGCGUUGUUCGGAAUUAUUGGGCGUAAAGAGCUUGUAGGCGGUUUGUCGCGUCUGCUGUGAAAUUUCGGGGCGUCAACCCCGGACUUGCAGUGGGUACGGGCAGACUAGAGUGUGGUAGGGGAGACUGGAAUUCCUGGUGUAGCGGUGAAAUGCGCAGAUAUCAGGAGGAACACCGAUGGCGAAGGCAGGUCUCUGGGCCACUACUGACGCUGAGACGCGAAAGCGUGGGGAGCAAACAGG
rnacentral:rRNA from 1 species